GGACCUGCGGAGGGAUCAUUACCGAGUUUACAACUCCCAAACCCCUGUGAACAUACCUUAAUGUUGCCUCGGCGGAUCAGCCCGCGCCCCGUAAAACGGGACGGCCCGCCAGAGGACCCAAACUCUAAUGUUUCUUAUUGUAACUUCUGAGUAAAACAAACAAAUAAAUCAAAACUUUCAACAACGGAUCUCUUGGUUCUGGCAUCGAUGAAGAACGCAGCAAAAUGCGAUAAGUAAUGUGAAUUGCAGAAUUCAGUGAAUCAUCGAAUCUUUGAACGCACAUUGCGCCCGCUGGUAUUCCGGCGGGCAUGCCUGUUCGAGCGUCAUUUCAACCCUCAAGCCCCCGGGUUUGGUGUUGGGGAUCGGCUCUGCCCUUCUGGGCGGUGCCGCCCCCGAAAUACAUUGGCGGUCUCGCUGCAGCCUCCAUUGCGUAGUAGCUAACACCUCGCAACUGGAACGCGGCGCGGCCAUGCCGUAAAACCCCAACUUCUGAAUGUGACC
rnacentral:rRNA from 1 species